rnacentral:rRNA from 1 species
AGAGUUUGAUCCUGGCUCAGAAGGAACGCUGGCAGCGUGCAUAACACAUGCAAGUCGAACGAUGAAACAUUCUUCGGAAUGUGGAAGAGUGGCGAACGGGUGAGGAACACGUAAGAAUCUGCCCCUCGGUCGGGGACAACUCUUGGAAACGAGAGCUAAUACCCGAUACGCUGUGGAGUGAAAGAAUUUCGCCGAGGGAUGAUCUUGCGUCUGAUUAGCUAGUUGGUGUGGUAAUGGCACACCAAGGCGACGAUCAGUAGCUGGUCUGAGAGGAUGAACAGCCACAUUGGAACUGAGACACGGUCCAAACUCCUACGGGAGGCAGCAGUGGGGAAUUUUCCGCAAUGGACGAAAGUCUGACGGAGCGACGCUGCGUGAAGGAUGACGGCCCGCGGGUUGUAAACUUCUUUUCUCGAAGAAGAAGCUCUGACGGUAUUCGAGGAAUAAGCAUCGGCUAACUCCGUGCCAGCAGCCGCGGUAAGACGGAGGAUGCAAGUGUUAUUCGGAAUGAUUGGGCGUAAAGAGUCUGUAGGCCGUAUGGAAAGUCUUUUGUUAAAUGCCUCGGCUCAACCGAGAUCCAGCAAAGGAAACUUCUAUACUUGAGGGAAGUAGAGGUACAGGGAAUUCCCGGUGGAGCGGUGAAAUGCGUAGAUAUCGGGAGGAACACCAAUAUGGCGAAGGCACUGUACUGGGCUUUACCUGACGCUGAGAGACGAAAGCUAAAGGAGUGAUUAGGAUUAGAUACCCUAGUAAUUUUAGCCGUAAACGAUGGAAACUCACUGCCGAGCGAAAUACAACGAGCGGUGGUCAAGCUAACGCGUGAAGUUUCCCGCCUGGGGAUUACGCUUGCAAAAGUGAAACUCAAAGGAAUUG